UAUGACGGGUAUCCGGCCUGAGAGGGUGAUCGGACACACUGGAACUGAGACACGGUCCAGACUCCUACGGGAGGCAGCAGUAGGGAAUAUUGCUCAAUGGGCGAAAGCCUGAAGCAGCAACGCCGCGUGGAGGAUGAAGGUUUUAGGAUUGUAAACUCCUUUUGUUAGAGAAGAUAAUGACGGUAUCUAACGAAUAAGCACCGGCUAACUCCGUGCCAGCAGCCGCGGUAAUACGGAGGGUGCAAGCGCUACUCGGAAUCACUGGGCGUAAAGAGUGCGUAGGCGGGAAGGUAAGUCAGAUGUGAAAUCCUGUAGCUUAACUACAGAACUGCAUUUGAAACUACUUUUCUAGAGUGUGGGAGAGGUAGGUGGAAU
rnacentral:rRNA from 1 species